CAGCAGCCGCGGGAAUACGAAGGGUGCAAGCGUUACUCGGAAUUACUGGGCGUAAAGCGUGCGUAGGUGGUGGUUUAAGUCCGUUGUGAAAGCCCUGGGCUCAACCUGGGAAUUGCAGUGGAUACUGGGUCACUAGAGUGUGGUAGAGGAUAGUGGAAUUCUCGGAGUAGCGGUAAAAUGCGUAGAUCUCGAGAGGAACACCAAUGGCGAAGGCAGCUUCUUGGUCCAUUCCUGACGUUCAUACACGAAAGCGUGGGGAGCAAACAGGAUUAGAUACCCGCGUAGUCCCUGUCUCUUAUAC
rnacentral:rRNA from 1 species